rnacentral:rRNA from 1 species
AGACGUGUGCUCUUCCGAUCUCAUAUGCUUGUCUCAAAGAUUAAGCCAUGCAUGUCUAAGUACAAGCCAUAUUAUGGUGAAACCGCGAAUGGCUCAUUAAAUCACACCUAAUCUACUGGAAUGUUAGCAGUUACUUGGAUAACUGAGGUAAUUCUUGAGCUAAUACACGCGAAAAAUCCCGACUCACGAAGGGAUGCUUUUAUUAGAUCAAAACCAAACAGCCUCUGGCUGUAACACUGGUGACUCUGAAUAACUUUGGGCUGAUCGCAUUGCCUUGAGCAGGCGACAUUUCCUUCGAAGGUGUGCCCUAUCAACUGUCGACUGUGAUAUAGACGCUCACAGUGGUUUUGACGGGUAACGGGGAAUCAGGGUUCGAUUCCGGAGAGGGAGCCUUAAAAACGGCUACCACAUCCAAGGAAGGCAGCAGGCACGCAAAUUACCCAAUGACCGAAGGUCGAGGUAGUGACGAAAAAUAACGAUACGGGACUCAUCCGAGGCCCCGUAAUCGGAAUGAGUACAGUUUAAAAUGUUUCCCGAGGAUCUAUUGGAGGGCAAGUCUGGUGCCAGCAGCCGCGGUAAUUCCAGCUCCAAUAGCGUAUAUUAAAGUUGUUGCGGUUAAAAAGCUCGUAGUUGGAUCUCGGCAAGUAGAGGGCGGUAUGCUUCGUAGCAUUACUGCCCUAUUACUUGUAGUUUUGCCAGAGGUUCCUGGGUGCUCUUAAUCGAGUGUCUAGGGAUGCUGGCAGGUUUACUUUGAAAAAAUUAGAGUGCUCAAAGCAGGCUAUUACGCUUGAAUAUUCGUGCAUGGAAUAAUAGAAUAGGAAGUUGUUUCUAUUUUGUUGGUUUUCGGAAAUCGACUUAAUGAUUAAUAGGGACAGUCGGGGGCAUUUGUAUUCAAACGACAGAGGUGAAAUUCUUGGACCGUUUGAAGACAAACUACUGCGAAAGCAUUUGCCAAGAAUGUUUUCAUUAAUCAAGAACGAAAGUUAGAGGUUCGAAGGCGAUUAGAUACCGCCCUAGUUCUAACCAUAAACGAUGCCAGCUAGCGAUCUGAGGACGUUUUUUUUGUAGACUCCUCAGGAAGCUUCCGGGAAACCAAAGCGUGUGGGUUCCGGGGGAAGUAUGGUUGCAAAGCUGAAACUUAAAGGAAUUGACGGAAGGGCACCACCAGGAGUGGAGCCUGCGGCUUAAUUUGAC